AUUCCAUAAAGAGGGCACUUCCUUAAUAAUUCUUUGUACUUUUCCCAUGCCUCAUACGAGGACUCGUCAUCCAUUUUUUGGAAAGUAGGGAUAUCAUUCCUCAACUU
rfam:Gossypium arboreum cultivar AKA8401 contig_103440_1, whole genome shotgun sequence.